rnacentral:tRNA from 1 species
GGAUGUAUAGCUAGCCGUAGAGCACUUGCCUGGCAUGCAGGAGGCUCUGGGUUUGAAUCCCAGUAUAGCAA